UACGUAGGGGGCGAGCGUUGUCCGGAGUUACUGGGCGUAAAGGGCAUGCAGGCGGUCGGACGCGUUUCGGGUGACAGCGGGUGGCUUAACUACCCGAGUGGUCGAAAGACGGUUUGACUUGAGGACGCGAGAGGGACACGGAAUUCCGGGUGGAGUGGUGAAAUGCGUAGAGAUCCGGAGGAACACCGAAGGCGAAGGCAGUGUCCUGGCGCGCAACUGACGCUGAGGUGCGAAAGCCAGGGGAGCGAACGGG
rnacentral:rRNA from 1 species